AGUUUGGCACCAGCGCCAUCGCAGGAGCUGCCAGAACGAGGUUGUGGACAACGACAAACUGCCUUGGGGGCCCCGACUCUGGAUUUUCUUGAGGUUUACUCCUGGAACCUUUUUCCAUGACUGGACACGGCCACAAGGCGGUGGAGGUUUUAAAUCAGAGUUUUCCCUCUCCUAGAUGGACUGCCUUCCCAGGCUGACGAGCCCCAUCUGCCCGGGAAAUAUCCGAAGCCUGAAAUAUAAAAUGUUCUUUUUUAUUAGCACCAAGGGAAUGUAUUUACUCUCUUGUUUGCACGGUUCCAUUUCAAAUGUAUUCUGAAUUCUCAAUUCUCUCAGAUUUUUACCCGAAUUGGCUUGUAGUGUUUUGAAUAAAUUGACAUGACAAGUAAUUUAAAUGGGAGCGAUGGAAAGGCAAGGUCAUAGAAUGUAAUAGAAUCAAAAAAUAAUAACUGACUGCACCAAUUUAGUAGAAAUGUGUCACACUAUUGAAUUAAAUGGAAUAUAUGGACUUUGUAUAUUACUGUAAUUAUUUGUCCCUAUGGGACUCUGUGUUGGCAGAUUGUCUCUUUUCAUACAUUACAAUGCUGACUUUGUUUUUAAAGAACAUAAUUGGCUGUAAAACACUCUUGGAUAUCCUGGGGUCGUAGAAAGUGCAUCAUAAAUUCCAGUUUUUUUUUUUUUUUUUUUAACGGAUAUAAUCAUGUUUUGAUUUAGUAAUUGAUGCAGCCAGAACCUAUUUCUCAGGAUGGUAAUAUUGAAUGCUAGAGGGAGUGGCUUGAAUGUGAGAGGGUCAAAGUUCAAAGGAGAUGUGAGGGGCAACUGUUUUACUCAAAGGUUGGUGAGUGCCUGGAAUGCAAAGUCAGUGUUAGUGGUGGAGGUAAAUACGAACGUGGCAUUUAAGAGACUUUUGGAUAGGUAUAUGGGAGGAAUGGGGAUAUGGAUUAUGUGUAGCCAGAUUAGGAUUGAUUUUAUGUUCAGUGAAGACAUUGUAGGCCAAAGGGCAUGUUCCUGUGUUGUAUAUUAUAUGGUCUAUGUAAUGCAAUGAAAGCAGUAUUAAACCAGAUGCAUAUAUAUAUAUAUUGAUAAUAUAUUCAGUUACUAUUUUUAUUUAACCUAUUUAAAUAUUGAGUUUAUAUGUGUAGUUUUAUUUAUAGUUUUGAAUGAAGGAAUGGGAGGUAAGGAUGGAAAAGAUAAAUUCGAAUAGUAAACGGCAUAUUGGUGUGUAUUCAGGAGUUCUUCAAAUCUACAAAGGAAUUGAAAAUGGAUUCCAGAUUUAGCUUAAGCCGAUUUCAACGUAUGCUUAGAAUUUACUCCAGCAUUUUGUAUCUAGCUACAGUUAAGGCAAAUAGCCAUCAACUUGUGCCCAUCGUUAAUGGGUAAUUAGAAGGAACUACAGACAUUGGUUUAGACCAAAGGUAGACACAAAAUGCUGGGGAAACUCAGCGGGACAGGAAGCAUCUCUGUCUGAAGAAUAGAUGUGUGAUGUUUCAGUUUGAGACUAGAAAUGUCACCCAUCCAUUUUCUCCAGAGAUGCUGCCUGACCCACCGAGUUACUCCAGCACUUAGUGUCUACCCAGCACUCAUAGUUGUUUACUUACCUCCCAUUGGGAAAGGAUUUGUUGGGAUAGCUUAAAACAAGAGGCUAAUUUAUGCUUUGGAGAUAUUGAGAUACAAGUAGGAGUGAGUAAGAACAUACUUCAUUGUGAAUGUUCUCUCAGCUGGCAGGACUGUAGAGUCGAGUGACAAACUUGCCAGCCCCACAUUUGUCCCAGCAUGUGGCGGUUAAAAGGAUCUACCAGCAGAAAAAAAACCCACUAACAAUAUUAUCGUUGAUAUUUUCUAAAGUUUCCAAAAAAAAUAGCCAGCCGAGCAUUAAAUAACAAUGUGUACAAUUUUCAUUUCUAUUUAGUGCAUUUAAUGUGCUUGACUUGGUUUCUGUUACUGUGAUGAGGCUAAAGAUGUUAUUUUACAGUCAACAUAAGCUUUAUGUUUGCAAAAAGCUCGUUGCUAUUGAGCACAGCAAUUAUGUAAGUGAAUAGAUUUUGGUUCUGCAGUAAGCAAGUAAUUUAUUCUUCCAAGGGUUACUAAAAUACAUUCAUUGCUAACUUGCGAAACAGUGGUGAUGGGGAAACUCGGUAUACUGUGUAAUGUUUCUCUAAGGCAUAAAGGUAUGGAGAUCCAGAUGUAUCAAAAGCUAAUGGAAAUAAGGCAUUCACUUUCGAAACAAUGUAUAAGGUAUUAAAAACCACACUGGAUGAAGAAAUUAUACACUUUCACGUAAAAUGAUUUUUAUUAUCUUCAUGAAAGUAUUUUUCUUUUGUUCAUUACUUAUAUUGUUUUAUGUAAUAAUAACACUUGGAAAAUCAAAGCCUUAGGUGUUGUGAAAGUAUAUCAGAAUGUGGAAAUACUUUGAGUUAUAUUCAUAGUAAAUUAUUUAUGUUUUGGAUUAACAGAAAAUAAAAUAUCUUUUGGAAAAUAAUCAAA